rnacentral:rRNA from 1 species
AGCAGCCGCGGUAAUUCCAGCUCCAAUAGCGUAUAUUAAAGUUGUUGCAGUUAAAAAGCUCGUAGUUGAAUUUCGGGGUUUAUCAGUUGGUCGGGCUUCACUGUCCGUACUGACUUGAUGGAUCCCUACCUUCUGAAUAACUAGCAUGCUAUUAAGUUAGUGCGUUGGGGAAGCAGAUCUAUUACCUUGAAAAAUUAGAGUGCUUAAAGCAAGCUAGUGCUUGAAUAGAUUAGCAUGGAAUAAUAAAAUAGGACGGCAUGGUUCUAUUUUGUUGGUUUCUAGGAUCACCGUAAUGAUUAAUAGGGAUAGUUGGGGGCAUUAGUAUUCAAUUGUCAGAGGUGAAAUUCUUGGAUUUAUUGAAGACUAACUUCUGCGAAAGCAUUUGCCAAGGAUGUUUUCAUUAAUCAAGAACGAAAGUUAGGGGAUCGAAGACGAUCAGAUACCGUCGUA